CAAGACCGAAUAGGGAUGGCACAGUGGAAAGUUCGCCUCAGGGCGAUAACUCCGCGGGGCGAUGUCGAGCCCGCCAUCCGGGUAGGUUGCUAGAGGCGCGGAGCAAUCCACGUC
rnacentral:misc_RNA from 1 species